rnacentral:rRNA from 1 species
GAUUGAUCCUGGCUCGGGUGAACGCUGGCGGCGUGCUUGACACAUGCAAGUCGAACGGUAUGUGGCAACACAUAGGGUGGCGAACGGGUGAGUAACACGUGGGAACGUAUCUUUUGCAGGGGGAUAACUGACCGAAAGGACAGCUAAUACCGCAUAAGUCCGGGAGGAGAAAGGUGCAACAGCAUCGGCAGAAGAGCGGCCCGCGGUCCAUCAGCUAGUUGGUGAGGUAAGGGCUUACCAAGGCGACGACGGAUAGCCGGCGUGAGAGCGUGGCCGGCCACAAGGACACUGAGAUACGGGUCCUACUCCUACGGGAGGCAGCAGUGCGGAAUUUUAGAUAAUGGAGGGAACUCUGAUCUAGCGACGCCGCGUGCAGGAAGAAGGUCUUCGGAUUGUAAACUGCUGUGGUAAGGGAAAAAUGCUAUGUAGAGUGGAAAGCUACAUAGAGGGAUGGUACCUUACUAGAAAGCCCCGGCUAACUACGUGCCAGCAGCCGCGGUAAUACGUAGGGGGCGAGCGUUACCCGGAAUCACUGGGCGUAAGGGGAGCGUAGGUGGCCUAACAUGUCAACUGUGAAAACCCGGAGCUCAACUCCGGACUUGCAGUUGAAACUGGUAGGCUUGAGGACGGUAGAGGAAGACGGAACUGCCAGUGUAGGGGUAAAAUCCUUAGAUAUUGGCAGGAACGCCGGUGACGAAGGUGGUUUUCUGGGCCGGUUCUGACACUGAUGCUCGAAAGCCAGGGGAGCGAACGGGAUUAGAUACCCCGGUAGUCCUGGCCCUAAACGAUGUUCACUAGGUGUGGGGAGCGGAAAGCUCUCCGUGCUAAAGCUAAGCUAACGCGAUAAGUGAACCGCCUGGGGAGUACGCCCGCAACCCUGAAACUCAAAGGAAUUGACGG